CGUGUAGGUGGAUCGUUAAGUCGGGGGUGAAAUCCCGGGGCUCAACCCCGGAACUGCCUUCGAUACUGGCGAUCUUGAGGGUGAGAGAGGCGAGUGGAAUUUCGAGUGUAGCAGUGAAAUGCGUAGAUAUUCGAAGGAACACCAGUGGCGAAGGCGACUCGCUGGCUCACUACUGACACUGAGAUGCGAAAGCGUGGGAACAAACA
rnacentral:rRNA from 1 species